rnacentral:rRNA from 1 species
AAAAAGAGUUAAACACAGGGACACAUUUGAAGUCUCGGAGCCGGGUGUUGGUUCCGGUAGCGAUCGAGGGAAAUUAGUACCGAAGUCCGGGAUGGAAGAUGGCGAGAAAAGCUGUGUGUAUUUCUGCGGUGCCCGUACCGCAAACCGACACAGGUAGGUAGGAAGAAGAUUCUAAGGCCAACGGGAGAAGGGUUGUUAAGGAACUCGGCAAAUUGACCCCGUAACUUCGGGAGAAGGGGUGCUCCAGAGAUGGAGCCGCAGAGAAUCGGCCCAAGCAACUGUUUACCAAAAACACAGGUUUGUGCUAAAUCGAAAGAUGACGUAUACGAGCUGACGCCUGCCCGGUGCUGGAAGGUUAAGAGGAGAUGUGCAAGCAUUGAAUCGAAGCCCCAGUGAACGGCGGCCGUAACAAUAACGGUCCUAAGGUAGCGAAAUUCCUUGUCAGGUAAGUUCUGACCCGCAUGAAAGGCGUAAUGAUUUGGGCACUGUCUCGACAGCCCGCCCGGCGAAAUUGUAGUACCGGUGAAGAUGCCGGUUACCCGCGACAAGACGGAAAGACCCCAUGGAGCUUUACUGUAGCCUAAUAUUGGGUUUCGAUGUUGCAUGCACAGGAUAGAUGGGACACAGGGAAACAAGUGCUUUGGCAUUUGUGGAGUGGCCGUUGGGAUACCAUCCUUGCGAUAUUGGAAUUCUAACCUGCGCCUUUGAAUCAAGGCGGGGGACAUUGUUAGGUGGGCAGUUUAACUGGGGCGGUCGCCUCCUAAAGAGUAACGGAGGCGUUCAAAGGUUCGCUCAGCUUGAACGGAAAUCAAGCAAAAGAGUGCAAACGCAGAAGCGGGCCUAACUGCGAGACUGACGAGUCGAGCAGUAACGAAAGUUGGAGUUAGUGAUCCGGUGGUAUGUGAGUGGAAAUGCCAUCGCUCAACGGAUAAAAGUUACCCUGGGGAUAACAGGCUGAUCUCCCCCAAGAGUCCACAUCGACGGGGAGGUUUGGCACCUCGAUGUCGGCUCAUCGCAUCCUGGGGCUGUAUUCGGUCCCAAGGGUUUGGCUGUUCGCCAAUUAAAGCGGUACGCGAGCUGGGUUCAGAACGUCGUGAGACAGUUCGGUCCCUAUCUGUCGUGGGCGCAGGAUAUUUGAUGGGAGCUGUUCCUAGUACGAGAGGACCGGAGCGGACGUACCUCUGGCGCACCAGUUGUUCUGCCAAGGGCAUAGCUGGGCAACUAUGUACGGAUCGGAUAAACGCUGAAAGCAUCUAAGCGUGAAGCCGACCCAAAGAUAAGAUAUCCCAUUGUUUUAAACAAGUAAGACCCCUUGAAGACUACAAGGUUGAUAGGCACGAUGUGUAAGUGGAGUGAUCCAUUCAGCAAGCGUGUACUAAUAGGUCGAGGGCUUGACC